rnacentral:rRNA from 1 species
UACGGGGGGGGCGAGCGUUGUUCGGAAUUACUGGGCGUAAAGGGCUCGUAGGCGGCCGACUAAGUCCGACGUGAAAUCCCCCGGCUUAACCGGGGAACUGCGUCUGAUACUGGACGGCUUGAAUUCGGGAGAGGGAUGCGGAAUUCCAGGUGUAGCGGUGAAAUGCGUAGAUAUCUGGAGGAACACCGGUGGCGAAGGCGGCAUCCUGGACCGACAUUGACGCUGAGGAGCGAAAGCCAGGGGAGCAAACGGG